ACUUUUAACGCCGAUUAACUCCGGUAUUAUUGUUAUACGUCGACACUUUCGAUACACGGGUACGCGGAUGAAAACCAGAUUGUAGGAGGUAGAUAUCCAGAUAAAGAGAGAGAGAAAGGGAGAGAGAGACAGAGAGAGAGAGAGAGAGAGAGAGAGACAGGGAAAGAGGGA